rnacentral:sRNA from 1 species
AAGAGGACAAAGAACUAAUGUCUGCAGGAAUAUUAAUAGGGACCCAAGUGGUGAGGCAGAUAGACACUAGGAGACCAGAGACUGGAGGUUGCUAAAAGCAGCUUCUGAGUUGGUUUCCUGUUCUUGGCAAACAAUUCCUCAAUUCCAGAGGGAAUCUUUAAUCAUGAAACUAAUUACUAUCCUGCUCCUCUGCUCCAGGCUCCUGCCAAGUUUAGCGCAGGAAGAAGGCGCCCAGGAAAUGGACUGCAAUGAUGAGACUGUAUUUCAGGCUGUGGAUAUUGCUCUCAAGAAGUGUAACGCUGGGUUACAAAGUGGCAGUUUGUGUUGUACUGAGUGACUGAGGGCACUAAGAAGGAUGGCUCUGAAACAUUUUAUUCCUUCAAGUAUCAAAUCAAGGAGGGCAACUGCCCUGUUCAGAGAGGCCUCACCUGACAGGACUGCGACUUCAAGAACGCUGAGGAAACCAUGAGUAUGCUCUUUAUAUAAAAGCCCCAGCCUGACCCAUGCAACCCUCAGGGUGCUAUAAAAUAUAAAUGAGACAGGAAAACUGAUAGACCAAGUAUGAAAUUUGUAUCUAGCGUGGGGUACACCUAAUGACUUUGCUCCCAGGUAUUUGUUUAAAUCAGAAUCACCUGUCACCUCAGACAGUCAUCAGCUGUUCAUGGUGACAAAAUUCAAAGUCCUUUUAGCCAUUCUCUGUGAACAAUACAGCAUUGUCCUCUGUGUCCAUUCCAGUCUAUCUGUCAUUCAGUAAUCCUUGGCCAGCCCUGUCCUAUGCCAGCCUCCAACUGCUGAUGACUCCUGUCCUGCUCCUAGCUUAGGUGACAUCAGCCCUGUCAGCCUUUGAUAUCCCGUGCCUAGAUGCACUCACUAACCAGCUGGUUUCCAGUUCCUUCCAUGUUGCAAAUUGCAAAGUAUAAUUGUUCAUACAUCUAUGGUAUUCUAUUCUGUAUAUAUAUAUACCAACAUACUUGCCCACUCAUCAGACACUGGUUUUUUGUUUGUUUGUUUGUUUGUUUGUUUUGGUGUUGUGGUUAAUUACAAGGGGAUUAUUUAUAUUAUAGAGCCUGUUCAGGAAAGAUGAAAACUUUGUAAUAUGUAGAAUAUUGACCCACACCAUAUCUGUGUUCCUGGAAAGACACAUGAAUCAGGAAGAUGCCAAUCAUUAAACAGGCAUGUGUCAACUCACUAGAAGGUAUACAUGUAAACAACAAAAGUUUGUGCAUCAGACCACAGGGAGACAACAGGAAGACAUUUGGGUUGAGUUCAAGGUCUAAUUUAGGAAGAAUAUGGUAAUUUCAGCUUUAUUGGCCCUCAGUAUAAAUCUUGACUUUGCCACUCAUCCUCCCUCCGCAGGUGCUUCAUUCUAUUAAAAUGAGGAAAUAUUGAUGGCACUGGAUAUAGGAGAUGGAAACUAGAUACAUUAUACAAAGGAGCUGUUAACAAUAAGCACCUUAAAGAAACACUGGAUUGAGCAUGAGUACCUGAUGUUUGCCUUGCACUGGCGAGAGGGUAUUAUCUGCCUGAGAAGCAAGCCUUUCUUCUCCCUGGCUGGAGUUCCCCUCUUAGAUAGGAUGUCAGCAUCAUCCACGUGUUUGUUUAAGCACUGUGCUCAUUCACAGUUGUAACAUGUACUGGGUUCCCAAUUAGGAGACCAGGAUUUCUACUCUGGCUCUGUGAGCUUGUGUAGCAGUUGCUAUCCCCUGCAGUCAGUCUCUCAGAGCCAUAGGGACACAUCAGGGUGAGCUCUAGCUUCACACAAUAGCUCCUGAUACUCAGGACAGGGGGCUAAAGUGAAGGCCAAGUCAAAGCUAUUCAACAAAUAUUAUUCAUCACUAAGAGUGGGCAGACAUGUGUAAGCACCGACUGUGUGCUGCUCUGUUAAGCGCUUUCUGUGUGUGGGCACACUGAUUCUCCACAGCAACCUCUUAAGUACAUGUGGUGCUGUUUCCACAAGGUGGGUAAACUGAGGCAGUGGGGGGCACCAGAGCAGCAGGAACAACUAGCAGCCAGCAGUGUGGAAGUGGGAUGUUCUAAGAGGUUAAACUGAUUUAUGUAAAGAGCAGGCAAACACUGAAACUGAGGGGGGAAUCAAAGAGGAAGCUCAUCCUGUUGAUUCUGAGGCAUGGCAUCCAUCUUGGUGGCAAACAAGUAGCCACAGAUCUCCACAUCAUGACUCAACCUUAGAGGACUUACUCUGCCUCUCCCCUGUCCUGUGAGCAUCAGUGGCUCGAGGGAACAAUCACAAGGUCACAUAAAUAUUCAUUCUCAAGUCUCACAAGUUUGUUAAUGGGCUGGUAAGAUUGCUGAGUGUUAAGAGCACUUGCUACUCUUGAGAAUUCCUGGGUUGGGUUUCUAGCACCCAAAUGGACACUUGGAACCAUCUGUAACUCUAGUCCCAUUGCUUCUGCUGCUGUCCUCUGGGUUCUGCAGACACCAAUCAUAUAGACACACAUCCAGGAAAAGCACUUGCAUGCAUAAGAACAAAUAAAUCUAAAGAAAACAAAACAAAAACUCUAUUAAAACAUCCUUAUUGCUUUUACUUCUUUUUCAUUUUAAAAAGCCACAUUUAACAACACCACUGCUAGAUAUUGUCAUCACAAAGAAAGAUUUAGACAAAUGGCCUUUUUUUCUUUUAGGCCACUGGAGAAUGAACAGAAACUGUGGAGAAGAGUGGAAAUAAUAAAUUCUCUAUAGCCACAUAGACCUACAAUGGUUACUCUGGAUGGGUGAUACAUCUGGGGACCUGUCCUGUGGGUGACAGUGGGUAGGAGCCUGACAGGAGCCUAGCAUAACUGUCCUCUGAGGGGCUCCACCCAGUGGCGAAUGGAAAGAGACCCAGAGACCCACAGCCAAACAUUGGACGAAGCUCAGGGAGUCAUGUGGACGAGUUGGGGGAAGAAUUGAGGAUCAGAAGACAAGGACUCCACAGAAAGACCUACAGAGUCAACUAACAUGAACCCUUGGAGGCUCCCAGAGACUGAACCACCAACACGGAAGCAAGCAUGGGCUGACCGAGGGCAGGGCUUAUAACAUGAUUUUAUAGCUUGGUCUUCAUGGCAGUAACCCAUCAACUGGAGGAUGGGCUUUCCCUGAAACCUGUUGUUUUGGCUGUUGAUUCCAUCCCCCUAACUGGGCUGCCUUGUCUGGCCUUCAUUGGGAGGAGGAUGCCUAGUCCUGCAGUAACUUUGAGUUUCAGGGGAGAGGGGUGAUUUCAGGGGAUACCCCUUGUCAGGGGAGAAGGGGAUGGUAGAGGGGAAAUGGCGGGAAGGA